UACGUAGGGUGCGAGCGUUAAUCGGAAUUACUGGGCGUAAAGCGUGCGCAGGCGGUGAUGUAAGACAGGUGUGAAAUCCCAGGGCUUAACCUUGGAACUGCAUUUGUGACUGCAUCGCUGGAGUGCGGCAGAGGGGGAUGGAAUUCCGCGUGUAGCAGUGAAAUGCGUAGAUAUGCGGAGGAACACCGAUGGCGAAGGCAAUCCCCUGGACCUGUACUGACGCUCAUGCACGAAAGCGUGGGGAGCAAACAGG
rnacentral:rRNA from 1 species